GAGAGUUAGUUGGGUUUGUUUGCUCCGAUAGUUGAUGUCACGCAAUCCCGGCAUACAAUAGUUGAAAACAAAACUCCGCUAUAUUGACCGGUAAGCGCGGCGUUCAAUUCAGUGCCAGGCAGGCCACUGCUGGCAGGUAACGUGUCUCUUCUCUGCUGUAGUUCUAAAAAGUUUACACGGUGGAUAGCUGUUGUGCCGAGGGAUGUCAGAAUAGUCGGGGACAAGCAAAGGGGAGAUUAGCGGAUUCCCAAAUAUCCUGAAAGAAGACAGAAAUGGUUUACUGCCAUAAAACACGCUAGAAGCUAGCAGAAGAAAACGGAGUGGUGUGAACCCACAAGAAACGGAUAUCAGAUUUCACAGCAGCGAGGGAGGAGACGAGGCGAUACAGAGGGGGAGGAAGAGGGAAAAGAAAAUGCAGAGAUGGAGCAGCGUGCUGGAGCUUGAGAGUCACACCUGAGUGUAGUUGGUGCAGGAUCUGACUACUUCCUUCACCACUCCUAUGGAUUGGCAAUCACUUGAUGAAUCCUGAUGCAAAACACCUGUGUCAUGUGUCUGUGUCGUCCAGAUCUCAGCUCAGCACCUCAAACAAGCCUCUACAUGCAGAGACUAUGGACGUCCUUGGGGGGGAAACCAGCAACUGAUUCAAACGACUCGACUCAACCAUCUGAUAUCCCCGUGGGAUCAGAGAGCCGCUGUCGAUCUCCAACCAGAGCUGUUUCCAUCAUGUUUAUUCUGUGUGAGCUGGUGGAGUUCAGAUGGAGCUGACCCUUGCACUGAUUGUUUGUCCUACAGAGCCAUUCUCUCUGAUAACAGUUAUCCUUCCUCACUGUGGGAAAGACAAAUCGAAUGCUGAAUGUGCUUGUGUGUGUGCAUUUCUGUGUGUGUGUGUGUUUGCGUUUGCGUGGGUAAUAUGGAAGUUUAAAGAAUGAGAUAUUGAACCUGAGAUAAGUAAAACAAAGACAAAGAUAGAAAAGAAAAACUGAAGAGGGGUUUUUUCUGUGCAUGUGUGUGUGUGUGUGUGUGUGUGUCUGUGUGUCUGUGUGUCUCCUGUGCUCGUUCCAUCACUCACACGUUAAUCGGUUGUCCUCCUUCAGUGGCCUCUAAAUGAUGCUCACCCAAUGAGAGAACAUGCAAUUAUUCACAUGGUGUCAUCUGUUAACAUAUUACACGUGCAUGUGUGUCUUUGUGGACGUGUGUGUGUCUGUGCGUGCAUGUCUGUGCACGCACGCGUGUGUGUGUUUCUGUUACACAAAGCAAGCAAGGCAGAGAUAAAGUGGAAAACAAGACGAGAGAGGAGAGGCGGAGAUGGAGAUGGAGAUGGAGAUAACGUGAGAGACAAGGACACGGAUGCUGACACAUCUGAGAUUAUAUAAAAUCCACUUUGUUAAAAGUCACUUUAUAGGUAAGGACUUUAAGAACAACAGUUCUAACUUUCUCAAGACCUUCUCACCUUUCCACCUGACCCUGUUUGUACUGUGUGUCGAAAUAUUUGCAUAUUCACAUUUUAAUAUCAGUAAUUUUCUCACCAAAUUCUCACCAAUAUUGUAGCAUACUCUACAGUGGUGGAAGAAGCACUCAGAUCUUUUAAGUCCAAGUAGUAAUACCACAGUGUAGAAAUACUCUUACAAGUAAAAGCCAGCAGAACGGCCCAUUUAUCAGAUCAUAAUAAUAGGUUUCUUAAUUAGUAUAUCACUUGAAUGUUGCAGCUAGUAAAUCAGUAAUUUUUUUUUUUUUUU